AGAUUGAACGCUGGCGGCAGGCCUAACACAUGCAAGUCGAGCGGUAGAGAGGUGCUUGCAUCUCUUGAGAGCGGCGGACGGGUGAGUAAUGCCUAGGAAUCUGCCUAGUGGUGGGGGAUAACGUUCGGAAACGGACGCUAAUACCGCAUACGUCCUACGGGAGAAAGCGGGGGACCUUCGGGCCUCGCGCCAUUAGAUGAGCCUAGGUCGGAUUAGCUAGUUGGUGAGGUAAUGGCUCACCAAGGCGACGAUCCGUAACUGGUCUGAGAGGAUGGAC
rnacentral:rRNA from 1 species